CAGUAUCUACUCCUGUAUCCUACAGCCCUUUCCUGUCCCCUGUGUGACAACCCAACCCAUUCAGCUCUGCAAGCCCUCCCUGGGACACUGAUCUGUGAAUCCUCUGCAGAGAUCCUGAGGAAGAGAGUGAGGCAGGGGACCAGGCUGUACAGACUGCUCCAAGCUCUGAAAACAGGCUGGCCCAGGAAGUACAUACAUCCUUUUCCCUGUGAACUGAUUAACCAUGGCAUCCAUACACUCUGCCCCCGGAGUUCAGGACUCCUGUUUCCUAAACCUAAGCUGAUCUCAGCUGGAGCAAGGUGAGGAGCCAUGGAUCCCUGAUGCUCCCAGAUCUCCUGGACUGGGUCUCAUUCCAACCUUUUCUGCAGGUGACGUGCAUGAAGCCCCCAGCGCACCGAGGGAGAGCUGUGAGGUAGGAGCCCUUCAGGGACUCCUUUCCCCCGCCCUGCCCAGUGGGAUCGAGGCCUCUGGGGAGUCUGGUGAUAAGGUUUCCUACUGGCGUACCUUGGAGGACAAGAUGUUGCUUCCCUGUGUUGCCAUCAAACUUCCCUCACAACUACUUUCUCUCCCAGACCUGCCCAAGCCUUAUCUGUGACUGCAGUGCGGCAAGGGCUUCAGCCACCCCUCCAAACUCAACCUCCACAGACGCAGCCAUAGCGGGGAGAAGCCAGCGGAGCGUCUGCGGUGCAGCCUUAGCACUGACAGGCGCGUCCACACCCCUGGUGGGAAGCCCUAUAAAUGCCGGGAUUGUGGGACGUGCUUCAGCCAGAGCUCGCACUUCAUCAUCCACCAGAGGGCGCACGCGGGCGAGCGUCCCUACCGCGGCGCGGACUGUGACACGAGCUUCAGAAGCAGCCGCUCCUACCUCCUGACACACCGCAGGGUGCACACCGGCGAGAAGCCCUGCUGCUGCGAGGUGUGCGGCCAGACCUUCAGUCAGAAGACGAACCUCCUCACGCACUGGAAGCUGCACGGGGCGCACAGGCGGCCGGGGUGACAAUACCCCGCAGCCCGGCCAGGCUGGGGGCUGAAGCCUGAGAUUCCCAUGUGGGGUUGAGCCGGGGUGAUCCAUUUCCAAGCUUCAGCUGUGCUCAGUGGGACGUGUCAAGGCAAGAUGUGGGGCCACAGUAUGGAGUGGAGCAGCGGAGCUCAUGCCGAUUUUCUGUAGUGCGGUGACUAAGUGAGGUUUCUGGGACUCAGGCCUCUGCUUUUCUUGCCUCCUCAGAAUCUCUCCCGGGUGCUCUAUGGUGUGGGAAAUCAAUAAAUCCCGGGUUGCUGAGUCACCAGGGGAUUAUCUGGGAGAAGGCAUGAAGCAAAAGGAUAGCAGGUAGUAUGAGCUGGAAAAAAAACCCUUUUAGAGUUUUCUCAUUACCCUAACUUGGCUUGAUCCUAAGUCCCUGAGGGUCUCAUUGGAGCCUCUGGUCUACCUCAUGGUGAUGUUAAAGGUGGAGAAAGUGAUCCUCCUUCUUGUGUUUCCACCCUCAAAAUAACCUGAGCUGUGUAGCACCAGGGCCCUCAUUUACAUCAGUCCAUCAACUUGUUCUUUACUCACUCCACUCAAACCUUCAGUUUUUAAUUAAGAAGCCAGAAUAUUGGCUCUGCACCCGUAGCACAGUGGUUAUGGCGCCAGCCACAUACACCGAGGGUGGUGGGUUGGAACCUGGCCAGCUAAUCAACAAUGACAACUGCAACAGAAAAUGGCCGGGCGUUGUGGCGGGCGCCCGUAGUCUCAGCUACUUGGGAGGCUGAGGCAGGAGAAUUGCUUGAGGCCAGGAGUUUGAGGUUGCUAUGAGCUGUGACGCCAUGGCACUCUACCCAGGGCGACAUAGUGAGACUCUGUCUAAAAAAAAAAGCUGUAAUAUUCUGAACUUCAGUGAUAACAGAGGAUGUGAUUUUUUCAUAAUACUUUUUGUACUUUGCCCUUUCCUCACUGGUGGAAUUUCCUGCCCAGGUUUUCCACCUGGUCAUGGUGGGAGUCUGAGUAAUUUAGAAAGUAGAACAAAGCAAAACAAAAAGCACUUCUUGGCUUGGUGCCUGUAGUUCAGCGGCUAGGGUGCCAGACACAUACGCCAGAGCUGGCAAGUUCGAAUCCAGGCAGAGCCUGCCAAACAACAAUGACAAUUACAACCAAAAAAUAGUCUGGUGUUGUGGCGGGUGCCUGUAGUACCAGGUACUUGGGAAGCUGAGGCAAGAGAAUCGCUUAAGCCCAAGAGUUUGAGGUUGCUGUGAGCUGUUAUGUCAUCACAUUCUACCCAGGGCGAUAGCUUGAGACUUUGUCCCAAAGGAAAAAAAAAGCACUUCUUGUUGAGAAAGGAAAAUAACUUUUAUCUGAGAAAUGAUUUUUUUUUUUUUAAAUUAUCAGGUGUAUAGAGGUAUUAAAAUGAGAGCAAUCACAUCCAACUUCCCUUUGGCUUUGCAUUCAUCUCUUCAAACUGAUUCCUAUUGCUAGAAGUAGCUCUAAGUUAACCUGACAUUGCUGCACCAAACACUAUAACCCUUCCACUAUAACUUAACAAUGUAUGUAGCCAAUUAAUAAUCAAUGUCAUUUCUGUAAACCAAUGCAAAUACAAACAACUGUGUAUCAGCCCAUUCCCUGUUCCCCCUUUUUUGCCUUAAAAAACCUGCUUGUAACAAAGGCUGAAUGGAGCUCAUAUCCAAGGUUACUUUUAGGCAGCUAUCCUCAUUUGGCUUUAGGUAAACUCUUUAAGUUGUAUGUUGUACCUCUUCCUUUUAAAUUGACAUUGUUUUUCACUCAGGGUAGAAGUUACACACAGGAAAGAGUGAUGGUGAUGGGGGCUGUCACUGGCCUCAACUUCCUCUCAGUACUUAAUGUUUCCCACUUGAAGAGGCUUCAGAAACAUUAAGGUGUGGUAGAACAUCACCCUUCUCUCAGUCUCCCACCUGGAAAAUCAGACUUUUUGGAGAUGAAAGUUAUUCCCAAAUUCCAGGACUCACCUCCUAGUCAUUGAGACUGCCCAUCUGUUGUCUUGCACACCAGCUACUCCCUGUAGUAAGCUGCCUUUUCAUUGGAGGUAGAAAGUCAUUUUAACUGAUUGCUCAAGCCAGUGUUUUUAUUUUCAAAUAUGUUAUUUGGCUCAACCCCAACUUUCCUGUUCUAUAUUUGAGAUUAGCUUAAAGUUAUUGUUUCCAACAACUUCUACCUUGGCUUUCUAAUUCUCUUGGACUUUUUAGGAACCUACCAAUUUUCUUGGUAGAGAGGUCUUUUCCUGCAGCGGUGCUGUCAGGAUAUCAGAAUUGUUCUGCCAUCAUGUGGGCAGAGUGGGUGCAGGGAUCCUCAAACUGCAGCCCGUGGGCCACACGAGGCAGUCUGAUUGUAUUUGUUCUCAUUUUGUUUUUUUACUUCAAAAUAAGAUAUGUGCAGUGUGCAUAGGAAUUUGUUCAUAGUUGUUUUUUUUUUUAAACUAUAGUCCGGCCCUCCAACGGUCUGAGGGACAGUGAACUGGUCCUCUGUUUAAAAAGUUUGAGGACCCCUAUUAACUAUAGUAUGGGAGGACACCUCUGACCUUGAAAUACUGUAUGACAAACUUUCCUUUGAGGUAAGGCUUAGGCUAGUAGUUCUCAGACUGUAAACUGGUUUUUAUUUACAGAAUCCUUGAUUUAGUAGGUCUGGAAUAGCAUGUGAGAAUUUGCAUUUUUAAGUUCCCAGAUAACGUUGUUGCUAUUGGUCAGGGGUUGAAUUUUGAAAACCACUGGUCUGAUGUAAUGAUAAAUUAAAGAGUUUUGAGCCCACCACUGCAAAUAAAGGGAGAUCAUAGGGUUUGUGUAAACUGUAAAGAAAAGAGGUGGGGUAGUCUGUUACAUAUUACCUAGCAACUAGGGGGUGAUCUAUGAAAUUGCAUAUUGCCUCCUAUAGAUCAUCAGGGAAUGCCCAGAAGUCUUAGGAAAUAAGGAGAGUGCAGGUGAGGUCAUGCUUAUCCAAGAGGAGUUGUAUUGCUGAUUGGGGCACAACUGGGACAGGAGCAAAGUUAAACUUAGCCACCUAUCCCCCUUAAAGGACCCUUUCUUUCUAAUACCUCUCCCCCUAACCUUUAAAUGACAAAUGGCUAAAGAAAUGAACAGAGUUGGGGCAGUGCCUGUGGCUCAAGGAGUAGGGCGCCGGUCCCAUAUGCCAGAGGUGGCAGGUUCAAACCUAGCCCCGGCCAAAAAACACAAAACAAAACAAAGAAAUGAACAGAGUUAUCAGAUACUUCUAAAGUGAAAAAUAAUGCAGGAUGUAAAGGGAGGAGUUUUUGAGUUAUUAAGAGUAGAAUUUUAGGCACCUUAUCAGACAAUUGUGUUAAUACUUCUAGUACGUGUGCCCAAUUUGCAAGCCCAUCAUGUUAGACUGCCUUUUAAUGACACCUGAGGCUGCUGAGCCUUUGGCCUUUUGGGAGAUCUCACCCAGGCACUGAGCUGAUGGCCCUGAGAGUCUACAGCUGUAGGUGAUAUUUUCUAGAUUAGAUACUGGCUGCUUAGAUGUAGCUCACAGAUAUGAUGAACAUUCACUAGAGAGAGAGGGCAGAAGGCUCACUGGACUUUGGGAACAAGUGUCACCUGAUCUCUUGGUACCUCAGCACUGGAGAAAGGUAGAACCUGGUCACCUAAAGAUCUCCUCAAUAAGUGAUUCCUCCCUGUGUCUUUUUCUUCUCUACUGAAAGCACAUGCAUGUCUUCCCUAUCCUGGACUCUCCAUGUGAAUAAAAGGAACAGAAAUCUGUCUGCUUGAUUUCUUUUAGGUUCGGGGUCAUAGUUCUGAAUUCAGAAACUUGCUACCUAUUUUGAUGUUAGCCCUGGCAACCAAGUGAACAUGCUUAUCUUUGGCCCAGAAUUAAUGUAGUUAAAGAUUUCUUGGUAGUGGUAGUGGAGAACUUUCACCACAAUUUUCUUUUGGUUCUUUGUGAGAGAAUCAGAUACAGCAAAGUGUUCUUGGGGGAAAUUAAGUGUAGAGUAGUGGAGCAGGAACCCAAUACAAAGCUCCUUUGACUCAGCAUUUCUGUUUAUUUGUUUAUUUUUAUUAUUUUUUUGAGACAGAGUGUUACUCUGUUGCCCAGGCUAGACUGCCAUGGCAUUAGCUUAGCUCACAGGAAGACUCCUGGGCUCAAGUGAUCCUUCCGACUCAGCCUCCUGAGUAGCUGGGUCUACAGGCACCAUCCACAAUGCCUAGCUAAUUUUUCCAUUUUUAGUGGAGACAGGGUCUCACUCUUGCUCAGGCUGGUCUCCAACUUCUGGGCUCAAGUGAUCCUUCCACCUUAGCCUCCUACAGUGCUAGGAGUCACCACACUUAGCCAGCCUUUCUGUUUAUUAAUUACAAAGUCGAAAACCAGGAAGGUGUUGAAUGAGUUUGCUUUGGGUCAUGUAAAGUUUUAGUAACAGACUAGAGAUCAUGUUUUUUGGUCUUAACCCAGAGCUUUUCCAUUCCAUAAUUCCCCUUACUGAUUUUUUACCUGCUGAUGGCUCUAAGCCUUGUGUCAGAAAGACUUUAAUGUGCCUUGUGACAAAUAUGCAGAAAAUAAGGAUGAGAGAGACUGGACAAAGAAAAAGGUAGAAUAUAAAAAAUAAGGUGAAGCCAGAAACUAAGCAUUUCAAACGUAUAGUGUGAGGAGUGGCACACUUUCUGGAAAUGAGUUACAAAUUCACGUGCAAACUUAUGAGCUGUCAUGCAAAGAGGAAAAAGUGAAUAUGUCUUUAAAAAUUAUACAUACACCUGUAUGAUGUAGUCCUUUUACACCUAUGUAUUUACUCAAGAGAAAUGAAAGCAUACAGAGACUUGUACAUAAAUGCUCAUAGAAGUUUUAUUUGUAACAACUCUAAACUAGACACAACACAAAUUUGCAUCAGCAGGGGAAUAGAUAAACAAAUUGUGGUAUACCCAUACAAUAGAGUAUCACUCAGAUAUUAAAAAGAAUCAACUGUUACACACACCACAACAUGGAUGAAUCUCAAAGUAAUUAUGCUGAAUGAAAGAAUUCAGACUAAAGAAAGUACAUAUUUUAUGAUUUCCAUUAUAUAAAAUUUUAGGAAAGCCAAACUCAUCAGUAGUGAUGGAAAGCAGAUCAGAGGAAUGAAGAAUGGAGUGAGAGGUGGAAGGGAGAAAUUAUAAUGGGACAUGAGGAGACUUUUGAGGGGUGGACAUGUUCAUUUCAUGAUCGUGCUGAUAGUUUGACAUUGUAGGUGUAUGUCAAAACUUACCAAUUGUACACUUACAUAUAUGCUAUUUAUUAAUAUUACACCUCCAUAAAAUUGUGAGAAAAAAAGUUAUUGCUUACGUGACAAGAAAAGCACAAUGAUUCUGUCACUGAUAUGUGAGAGAAAAUUUCCCUUUGAGUUUCAUAGUGUUGCUUCUUGUAAUCCUCCUCAUUGUAAUCCAAUGGCAGGAUGCUAAAACACCCUUUAACAAGACAGUUCUAUGAAGGAUGAUCCAGUAGAAAUAAGUAGAACGUGGAAACUUUUAAGUAUUUUAAGAGUGCUUCCAAUAUAUAAACAAUUACAUGCCCAUAAAAUAAAAAAAACACAAAUAUAAUCUAGCAAGGGGGAAGAGUGAGAAGGGAGGAGGGGUGGGCACUUGGUGGCAAGAGGGAGGGCAAUGGGCCGGAUGUCACCUAAUGUGUACAAUGCACGGGUAUUCAGCACGCCCCAGGCGUGAAGGGCUCUUCCUGCGUGAAGGGCUCUUCUACAACUUUUACCUUGCAAUUGAGAACAAUGUAAACUAAAAAAGUUGUACCUGCAUAUUCAUUUGAAAUAAAAAAAAGUGCUGCUCUCCGUUGGUCUGCUUUAGGCUGGGGUUAGUAUUUUAGAUUAUCAGAGGAAAAGCUGUUUUGCCCAUCCUUUUGGCAACCCUUUCAAAACGCUGGUCCUCUCAGCUGAAGUUUUGGUAAGUACUGAAGGACAGCAGUUCUGAGAUUUAAUCAUGGACAAAAUGAAUAUAGGGAAGGCCAUUCUGUCCCUCUUGCGGGUGUAGAUGGGGCGAGUAACACUUUUGUCUCUUCAUUUUAGCAUUUCAAGUAGGUCCUUACUUUGCAUUACUUUCUGACAGUUGCAGGGAGG